GUUGAUGAGGUGUUGUCUCUCGUCUCCUGCCAGAAAGAGUGUUCCAACUUCAUCCGAGUGCUCCAGCCCUACAAACUCCACCCACCUGUAUAUCUGUGGUACAGGGGCCUUCCACCCCAUCUGUGCCUACCUGGAGAUGGGCAAACGGGCAGAGGACAACAUCUUUCGACUGGAGUCGUCCCACUGAGAACGGCCGGGGGAAAAGCCCUUACGACCCCAAGAUGCUCUCUGCGUCCAUCAUGUUAGAUGGGGAGCUGUACUCUGGCACGUCGGCAGACUUCAUGGGAAGGGACUUUGCCAUCUUCCGUACCCUGGGGGAGCAUCAUCCUAUCAGGACUGAGCAACAUGACUCUAGAUGGCUCAAUGGUACAACACAGUGAUUCUUUAUUUAUCCUUAAUUAUACAGUCGAUCACAUUAAAGCAAAGAGCUAUUUUCCAAGGGAGAAAUCAUAUAAAAGACACUUCUGAUUAAAUUGUGUUUGCAGAGGUAUAACUGUUUGAAAUGAACAAGAGGGAACCGUUGAUGAUAUGACACAGUAGGUCAAACAACCUUUAUUGGCUGAAACUAUAUGAAUCAUCCCUUUUUAUUGGUCGAUAGGAGAGGGGGCUCUUGAUAGUAUAAUAUAGAUAUGAUACACUUUAUCCGUUAAAGCGCAUCAAAGGAACCUUCUCAUUGGUCAAUUGGCGAGAGGACKCCAUUCAUUGGUUUAAAUAGCUGUCGGACAGAGCUUAGUCCUAUCUAUAAGCCGUGAGUAUCUCUGAUGAUUCCCAUUCAAAGACAGACAUAGAUAUCAGAUCCCAUUCAUAAAGUGAGUGUGUGUAUGAAUGUGUGUGGCUGCUGGUGCUGGGGAGAUUAGCCAGGGGUGGGAAGGAGAGGAGCCCUCACUCUGUCAGUCUGCCUGCAUAGCCAAGGAUUUAAUGGCUGCCGCACAAAAGGUCAAUUUAUGUUUUUUUCCCCCGCCGUCCAUUUUCUUUCCCAUGGAGUUAAUCCCCUCAGCUGUUUUCCGGCAGCGACAUCAAAUUUCAACCCCUCACCACCCCUUUACAGCCCCACCUCCCAUUCACAGAACAGUGAACCCCCCAAAACCCACUCCAUGGUGAUGAAUGCCGUGACAUAUUCAGAAAGAGCGAUUUACCCAAAAGGUAAUCUUCUCACCUUAAUCCUCYUAUUGUCUGUURGCUUCUCCAUCCAUUGGCUCCGGAUAAAUCCUCUCURGUUAUUGUAAUUUGGGGAUUACCAAAAUGGAUUCUAUUCUAUUCUCUAGACUAGWAUGAAUGGUAAGCAUGGUGUUCAUACUUCAGAGAGAAUCCUUCAUGGCUAUGUGAAUAGAUAUGCACUUCAGAAGGCUUCAGACCCGAGGUUGGCCAGACAGACUGUGGCCAAGACAUUUAUUUACACAUCCUCCCGAUCUGUUAACACUCCUAACUCGGGUUUAUAGUUAAGCCCACGACCAAUGAAGUGGCCUUUGUCCGACAUUAAAUGUAUUGAAUGGCAUGAGUGCAGCCGUCGUGGUGUUUGUGUAUGUGUGUGUGUGUGUGUGUGUGGGGGAGUUGUGUGUGUGUGUGCAUCCGUCUGCUCGCGCACUGUGCAUUUACUGAAUGGCUGUGUGUGUAUGUGCAUGUGUGUGUGUACUUGCAUAUCUGUGUUUGGGACUCGCAACCACAUGGAGACAGAAUAAAUCUGGCAGCGUAAAGGUCCCACUUUGGCCAGGGGUCUCCCUUUUCACGGCCACAUCCUGUAUUGUGUGAGUGUGUGUUAAUAUAUAGUUGUGGCCAAAUAUAUUCGCACCCUU